ACAAGCAGUGCCUCAAGCAUCAGUUUCAUCAUUUCUGCCGUGUUUGGGGUGGCAAGCUCAGACACUGAAUUUUACUAGCUUCUUUUGAUGAAUAUUAACUCCCAAUAUCAGAAACUAGGCCCCGUCUGAGCACGUGCCCCUGAGAUUUUGACCUGAGCAGAAUAAGCCCAAUGAAGAACAUCUUCAACUUGUCCAGCCCCAAGGUGCAGAAGGCAGCUGCCCAGCCCAGGAUGGGAGGUGCCGCCCAUUCCCACAGGAGGAAAAACACAAGGAAUCUCCAUCCGGCUUAUCUGUGAGAAAGCGCAGAAGUGGCGUGUCUGUCAGCAAAGGCAGCAGAGAGAGACCCAGGACUCCCGAGAGUGUCCAUGGCCCCACUGCCCCUCACCACGAGUCACGCCUUCUCUCAGCCUUUCCCUCCCUCAUGAUCUAUAGCUGUAAACAUUCCCUUCCCAUUUCCUUCUCUGAGAGGUCCCAAGCCAUCUGUCCUACCCCUUCCUUGCCUGUUAAAAGUAAACUCAAUCCAAAACAGCAAAAACCAGAGGGAAAGGCCUUGAACAUUUCCAACCUUACAUUUCUUGUAUAUAUCCUGUAAAUAAAAGGCUAUUAAAAAAAAAAAAAGAAAUGUUUAAAAAAAAAAAGAGGGGGCCACACCCCAUGGCCUAAAACCAUGAGUGCGUGUACACACACUCACAGAGCUCAUUCCCACAGACCUUUUUCCCUAAAAAGAGGAGCUCCAGACCAUUCCCAAGUACUCUGCCCCAUUCUCCCAAUAAAACUUUGCGACACUCCCAGACACAAUUAGAGUUUGUGAUGUUUUUGAGUAAAACAAAAAACAAAACAAAAAAAUUUAACAUUAAAAAUAAUUUUUUUAGAAUCCGAUGAAAUGGACUGAAGUAGUGUCUUAUUUUUAAAGCUGCUUUCCUCAAGGAAAAAUCACUUAAAAGGUGCUUGGGGCUCAUUUGGAAUUUCUCUCCCUUGACUAAGGAGACAGUUUCAGGGAGAAGGCACUCUGAAAGCAUGGGGUUAGCCCAAGAACUCUGGGGGCCAAAGUGUUGGGACUUAAGGAUUCUAUCAGGAAUUCAAUAGGCUGCCAGUAGGGAAGUCACACUCUGGGAGGUGCAUCUGGGGCUGGAUAACCCAACACUGCUGCAAGCUGAGGUCUCCAGAGUCCAUCUGGCUCACAUGGCACUGAUUACUGAAAAGACCAAGCCUGUACAAGAUGGACACCCACCAGCGUGGCUGUAACCACUCUCUCCUAGAAAGAGCUCAGACUCACCCGUUCCAAUUCCCUUGUAGAAUAUGAAAUGCCACUUUAACCUUCACUGCUGGGAUGAUAUUAGCAAAUCAGGAGUUUACAGAA
rnacentral:lncRNA from 1 species